CGCCACUACGGCAACAUGGAGGUUACGCGUGUGUACCGUAACCACGGAAUUUCGUGUGAUUGCAUUUCGCUUGUGUGGUUACAUUUCGCUGGUGUGAUUACAUUUCGCUGGACGAAGCCGGUGUUUCAGCGUUGAUCGUGACGGGAAGAAAGCAGAUCUUCGUUAUUGGACGAGUGAAUUCGGACUGCGCAGUUUUGAUGGUGACGACGCGGACAAGACCGUCGUUCCCUGGAUGGCAGGCGGUGAUGCGUCCCAUCUCCCAUCGACUUGGCGGCAGAGUCGGGUUACGAAGUAGCACGAGUUGACCUACUUUGCGAGUUGAGAUUUAGCAAGGCGCCCUUUUGCACGUAUUAAACCGUCAGCAUCCAGGUACGGUACGAGAGAAAGUAGAGGACUUGUCCUCGGGAUCGGCUUGGAUGCUCUUAGGGCUCUCAAUUG